GAUGAACGCUAGCUACAGGCUUAACACAUGCAAGUCGAGGGGUAGCAGGGUAGCAAUACCGCUGACGACCGGCGCACGGGUGAGUAACACGUAUCCAACCUUCCCAUAACUCGGGGAUAGCCUUUCGAAAGAAAGAUUAAUACCGGAUGGUACUUACUCCAGGCAUCUUGAGUAAGUUAACGAUCUAUUGGUUAUGGAUGGGGAUGCGUUCCAUUAGAUAGUUGGUGAGGUAAAGGCUCACCAAGUCUUCGAUGGAUAGGGGUUCUGAGAGGAAGGUCCCCCACAUUGGUACUGAGACAAGGACCAAAAUCCUACGGGAGGCAGCAGUGAGGAAUAUUGGUCAAUGGGCGAGAGCCUGAACCAGCCAAGUAGCGUGAAGGAUGAAGGUCCUAUGGAUUGUAAACUUCUUUUAUAGUAGAAUAAAGUGAUCCACGUGAGGAUUUUUGUAUGUAUACUAUGAAUAAGGAUCGGCUAACUCCGUGCCAGCAGCCGCGGUAA
rnacentral:rRNA from 1 species